rnacentral:pre_miRNA from 1 species
GCUCUGCAGACUGGAGGGGCCCCCCAGGCUGGGCUGGGUGAGAACCUCUUCAAAGGCUCACCCUCAUGCACGGCUAGGAGG